ACAUUCACUUUGUAGCAAAGCACUUGUGAAAAUGAAGAACAGAUUUUCACUUGGUAAUUCUGGAGACAGGGACCUGAUUCCCAGCAGUGACAGGACAGAGAGGAAGGUCCCUGCUCCGGACAGACCUCCAGCAAGUGGUUGUCCUGUGACCCCCCACCCCACCCCCUCACACACACCUCUUUCGUCAUGUAUCCAAUCUUGUCCUGGGUCUUCAGUCAGAAUUCUGGAAACUUUAUUGUGAACUAGAAUUAGGCGGUUGCUCUAGGAUCCCAUGGCCCAGCUGUCCCAGGUGUCUAACAUGCUAUUUUCUUCCACAGGAGGAGAAGGACCAAGGUACUUUCAUGCUGCACGCAACGACAGUACCCAGGGCUCUGAUUCGUCUCUAAUGGCUCUUAAUGUGUGAGACCCGCUGCCCCCCAGGGACUGAGCAAUACAGGAUCUGUUCACACUUGGUGACAUCGAGAUCCCCUGACUUCCUGCAGAUGGUGUCAAUGUGUCUGCAUUCCUAUUAGCAUAUUGAGAGGACUCAGGAGACUGGCCCCCCAUGCCCACCAUGACCCCUCCCCGUACUGAUUCAUGUUCCCUUUCUGACCUGCUUUCCUGUUCCAGCAGAGUCAGUGCUGGACCAUCUCCAUGCCCGUCUUUUUUUCAUGUUGGACCGAGUACUGACUCCUUACUUCCCUACUAAAAAUGAGAAUCCAGAUAUGAAUUUGUGUUUUGUAAUUCUGGGUAUGCGGGGAUGACGAGGUAAUAAAAGAGAAGAUUUUUAAAGUUG